rnacentral:rRNA from 1 species
UACGAGGGGGGCGAGCGUUGUUCGGAAUUAUUGGGCGUAAAGGGUGCGUAGGCGGUUCCGCAAGUCCUGUGUGAAAUCUUCGGGCUCAACUCGAAGUCUGCACGGGAAACUGCGGGGCUUGAGUGUGGGAGAGGUGAGUGGAAUUCCCGGUGUAGCGGUGAAAUGCGUAGAUAUCGGGAAGAACACCGAUGGCGAAAGCACUCUGCUGGGCCGAAACUGACACUGAGAGACGAAAGCUAGGGGAGCGAAUGGG